AGGGGAAUGUCAUACUCUUAGAUCAAAGACUUUGGAAAUUAAAAUCUUUGUCAACUCUUGCUGGCAUAUUGCUUAUUAGAGGGACCAUGGGCUACCAUUUUCUUUUUCUCUCUUUUUUUAAGUGGAUACCGAGGUAUUCUGCAUAAUCCAAGAUAUGUGUAUGUGUAAAGUAAAGUGUGUAGAGUGUGUACCUGAAUCGUGGAGUGGUGUAGUCGGAGUGUGUUUGGCGUGUCGAGGGAUCUCCCCCAUACUUGUUUUCUGCUUG
rnacentral:lncRNA from 1 species